rnacentral:rRNA from 1 species
ACGUAGGGACCAAGCGUUGUUCGGAUUUACUGGGCGUAAAGGGCGCGUAGGCGGCUUAACAAGUCACUUGUGAAAUCUCCGGGCUUAACUUGGAACGGUCAGCUGAUACUGCUUUGCUAGAGUGCAGAAGGGGCAAUCGGAAUUCUUGGUGUAGCGGUGAAAUGCGUAGAUAUCAAGAGGAACACCUGAGGUGAAGACGGGUUGCUGGGCUGACACUGACGCUGAGGCGCGAAAGCUAGGGUAGCAAACGGGA